GACGAACGCUGGCGGCGUGCCUAAUACAUGCAAGUAGGACGCAGUUGCGAACGGGUGAGUAACGCGUAGGUAACUACCUAUUAGAGGGGGAUAACUAUUGGAAACGAUAGCUAAUACCGCAUACUAGUAGAUGGACCUGCGUUGUAUUAGCUAGUAGGUAGGGGAAUGGCCUACCUAGGCAAGGAUACAUAGCCGACCGGGGAGGGUGGUCGGCCAAACUGGGACUGAGAAACGGCCCAGAAUCCUACGGGAGGCAGCAGGAGGGAAUCUUAGGCAAUGGGGGGAAUCCGUGCCGGAGAAAGCCGCGGGAGUUAAGAAGGUUUUCGGAUCGGAAAGCUCUGUUGAUAAGGGAGCGGUACUUAACCAGAAAGGGACGGCUAACUACGUGCCAGCAGCCGCGGUAAUUC
rnacentral:rRNA from 1 species